rnacentral:rRNA from 1 species
CCAAUGUUUAACGGCCGCGACUAAGUGCUAAGGUAGCAUAAUAAUUUGUCUUUUUAUUGGAGACUAGAAUGAAAGAAGAUAACGAGGCUUAACUGUCUCCAAGCAUACUAUUAAAAUUGAUUUAGAAGUGAAAAAUCUCCUAUAACAGUGAAGGACGAAAAGACCCUGUAGAGUUUGUAGUGAAAUUAAUAAAAUAAUAAAUUCACUUUUAUUGGGGCAAUAAAAGAUCAAAUUUAAACUCUUUUAAAAAAAUUUUUGAUAUAUCAAAAGAAAACAGAUCCUCAAAGAGAAAAAAGAAAAACUACCUCAGGGAUAACAGCGUAAUUCUUCCAGAGAGAUCUAAUUGAAGGAAUGAGUUUGCGACCUCGAUGUUGGACUAAGGUAACUUUU